rnacentral:rRNA from 1 species
GAUGAACGCUGGCGGCGUGCCUAAUACAUGCAAGUCGAGCGAACAGACGAGGAGCUUGCUCCUCUGACGUUAGCGGCGGACGGGUGAGUAACACGUGGAUAACCUACCUAUAAGACUGGGAUAACUUCGGGAAACCGGAGCUAAUACCGGAUAAUAUAUUGAACCGCAUGGUUCAAUAGUGAAAGACGGUUUUGCUGUCACUUAUAGAUGGAUCCGCGCCGCAUUAGCUAGUUGGUAAGGUAACGGCUUACCAAGGCAACGAUGCGUAGCCGACCUGAGAGGGUGAUCGGCCACACUGGAACUGAGACACGGUCCAGACUCCUACGCGAGGCAGCAGUAGGGAAUCUUCCGCAAUGGGCGAAAGCUUGACGGAGCAACGCCGCGUGAGUGAUGAAGGUCUUCGGAUCGUAAAACUCUGUUAUUAGGGAAGAACAAAUGUGUAAGUAACUAUGCACGUCUUGACGGUACCUAAUCAGAAAGCCACGGCUAACUACGUG